rnacentral:rRNA from 1 species
AGUGAACGCUGGCGGUAGGCCUAACACAUGCAAGUCGAACGGCAGCACAGUAAGAGCUUGCUCUUACGGGUGGCGAGUGGCGGACGGGUGAGGAAUACAUCGGAAUCUACUUUUUCGUGGGGGAUAACGUAGGGAAACUUACGCUAAUACCGCAUACGACCUACGGGUGAAAGCAGGGGAUCUUCGGACCUUGCGCGAUUGAAUGAGCCGAUGUCGGAUUAGCUAGUUGGCGGGGUAAAGGCCCACCAAGGCGACGAUCCGUAGCUGGUCUGAGAGGAUGAUCGGCCACACGGGAACUGAGACACGGUCCAGACUCCUACGGGAGGCAGCAGUGGGGAAUAUUGGACAAUGGGCGCAAGCCUGAUCCAGCCAUACCGAGUGGGUGAAGAAGGCCUUCGGGUUGUAAAGCCCUUUUGUUGGGAAAGAAAAGCAGCAGGUUAAUACCCCGCUGUUCUGACGGUACCCAAAGAAUAAGCACCGGCUAACUUCGUG